rnacentral:tRNA from 1 species
CCCCCGAUAGCUCAGUUGGUAGAGCGGAGGACUGUAGACUUGUCUAUGCAGCAGAGUAAAAUCUGCGUCCAAAACCCCUAACUCCCGAACAUGGGAGAGAAUGCGAAAUAGUAAUCCUUAGGUCGCUGGUUCGAUUCCGGCUUGGGGGA